AUUCCCCGCGCUCUGUACACGCUGCACACUCAAGGGCAGGAGGAAGGAAAGGCCAAGCACUGGUCUUGCUUUGGAGUCCAGCUCCUGACGGGGGUCACAUAGCUGAACUCUCCUCUUCAAGUUCCUUUUCUAUUCUUAGCUUCAACUUUCAGCAACAUCUCCUCUGAUGGCUUAUUUGUUUGCAAAGCAAACUACAGGACGUGCAUAAGGAGGAGUAGUGGAAUUCUAGCCAUUAAGAUGAAGAAUCUGAAAAGAAUAUCCUGUGUGGAAGAAUGAAGGGGGGAUUAGCUGGUGCUUUUGCUGAAGUGCUGGCCAGAGAUCCAGUGAGCCUCUUCCCUGCACAAGGAAACCGUCAGCAAGAGGCGCCUGAAGGAGUGGAGAGGGGAGCAGCGCAGACAGUGACUGGAGGCUAGAAUGAAGAAGGUGAAUCCUGAGUCAAUGAAAAAUCACACAUUACAGCUGCUGCAACAGGCAGAACACAAUUAAAUGGUCCACCAGACCCCUCAGCAAUUUUCAAGAGGGCCGUGGUGGUGGUGGGAAUUGGGAGCCGCCGUCGCAGGGAAAACAGAUCAUGUGCAGCAGCCGCUGCUGGGACUGACCCUGUUCAGGAAUGGCGCCACCAAGAACAUCUGCGGAGAGCCUGAAGGUGGAUCAGGCCACGGUGGUCCCAUCCAGCCCAUCCUCCUCUUCUCACAGCAGCCAAACAGAUGUCUCUUCUGGGAAGCUCACAGCCAGGACCUGGACACAACCGCCGUACUCUGCCCUUCAGAUUCCCAGCACCUGGCGUUCAGGGCACCCUGCCUCCAAUAGUGGAGGGCAAACAUAGCCAUCGUGGCCAGUAGCCAUUGAUGAAAGAUACCCAGCCUUCACCACCACGCAAACACAUGCUGGGGGGGAGGACAGGACUAUACAACACUGGGUGCCUGGCAAGAGUUAAUUAAGAAAUAUUUAACCCCAAGACUGUGAUUCCAUCUGGAUUCCAUCUCCCCUCCCCCCCCAAGAACGAGUCUGACACCCUGCCAUGACUGUUUUGUCCCUCAUUAUGUUACAAAUCAUUUCCACUUUCCCCAGCCCCCGUGAGCCACUUUUGGAAACAACAGCGACACGUUUCCCUUUGUCCAUACAAACAGCUGGCCUGCCUCAGUCAGGGCUGAACCACGCUGCCUCAAGGGCUGUGAUGAUUACGAUCCCGUUAUACUGCCACACAUGCCCUCUUCCUCCCCCGAGUAGCAUUAACACAUCUGCCGUAGCUGGAAAGAUGCCGCAAAGGAGUUUCUGGGCACAGGAAGGGCCCCGCUCCAGCUCCAGCUGCAGGAAGCAUUUUUCUUCUUGCAGAUGGCAAGCUGUUACGCCCAGAGACACAGCAGCAUGGAUAACAGUUGCUUGAGGCAAUGCCAUUUCACCUCCCCACAAACGUCGUGCAAGCCACUCAGGAUGGAUGCACAACAGACAGGUCACCUGGAAGGCCCUUUACAGCCAGGGACCUACAGCAGCUCCCCACAACCCUGCCGCUGCCCUGCAUGCCCCAAAAGGAAAGCGGGGAUCCUUUUGUGCCCAUAAGGCUCCGCAAAGCAUUCUUCCUAACAUGCAUGAAAAGUGGCUUAUAAGCAGCAACCAUAAAGUCAAAAGCAAAUUAAAAUAAAAAUGAGCUAAAAAUAAA